UACGAAGGGGGCUAGCGUUGCUCGGAAUCACUGGGCGUAAAGGGUGCGUAGGCGGGUCUUUAAGUCAGGGGUGAAAUCCUGGAGCUCAACUCCAGAACUGCCUUUGAUACUGAGGAUCUUGAGUUCGGGAGAGGUGAGUGGAACUGCGAGUGUAGAGGUGAAAUUCGUAGAUAUUCGCAAGAACACCAGUGGCGAAGGCGGUUCUCUGGGACGGUACUGACGCUGAGACGCGAAAGCGUGGGGAGCGAACAGG
rnacentral:rRNA from 1 species